AGGAAGGAGGGCGAGUGCCGAGCUGACGGCUGUGCGGGGCAGGUUGGGCUAUUCGGAGGGGGCCGCCUGUGUGCUCGGGGCCAUGGCCCUGAGCAGGAGGGAAGUGUUUAUAGGGAAGGUACUGAAACGACUCUACGCUGAAACUUCAUCAUCUUCUCUUGCACACUCUUCAAGUAGAGAAGAAGAGGUGAUUCUCAGAAAUCUGGGCUCAAAAUCCAAAGAAAAGAUUUUGGAUAAUGUUCAGACUUCAUCAGCAGAUGCUAGCACGUCAACUGAUACAUCCCGCAAAUCAUUUCAAGGUAGCGACAAUACAAUUCUGCCUCCAAGGAGAAUGUACACAGUGGAUCUUCCUCCAGAGGGUUACAUUGCAGUUACUCCAGAUGCUCUUAGUAUUUCAGUUUCUGAAAACUCAGACAGUAGUGCUGACUCAACAGAGGAGGAAUAUCAAGGACAAGCCAAGAGAAAGCGCAUUCGAAGGAAGAAACAAAAGACCAGUUUGCAAAACUCUAAUAAUGUACAUGGAGAACAAACAGAAUCUGGAAUGCAAGAGACUCUUGUCCAAGAUAAUUUACAGCUGCAGCAGAUAGACAGUCCCAAAAUAAGCAAAAACAAAAAGAGGAAAAUGAAAAAGAAGCGACAGAAAGAAAAAAUGAGAGCAGCUGGCUUGGUAACAAAAACUGCUGGUGUGGAUUUUACAUAUCAGCCUGACAAAAACAACACAGAAGAAGCAGCAGGCUUAAAAGACAUAGAUAAAAAGGCAGAUAGCAUUCUGGACUUCCUGCAGGCAACACAACAAAUUUAUUUUGCUGACAGUAAAUCAGAAUGCACAGAUUCUGCUGUAGAUUCAGCAGCUGCCCAAGAGCUUUUACAAUAUCUUGAAUCUCGCACCAUCUCUUCCUCAGACGUGACUCUUCUACAUCAGCUGAAAUCCCUUGUAUUGCUACAAGAUAUUGAGAGAUUGAAGGAUGCUUUGAAACAGUUCCAAGAACAAUCCAUGAUGCGUCCUGAUCAUACCAAGAUAGUCACGUCUCUGUUUCACUACUGGAUUACAGAUAUCCUUCCUGUGAAGAACAGGAAAUAAAGCCUGUGUCCAUAUGCACAGGGUUAAAAUUUGAUAUACAAACUCUUAACCAAGUAGCAAUUGUUCAGGAAGAACAGUGUCAAUACACAUUCUACACCUUCAGGUAAAUGAAUUAUUUUUCUGUGUUAGAAACUCCAGAAGACAAUAAACAGGGUAUAACUACAUGUGAUUUUUGUGUUUAGGUGGUCAAGAAUAUGCCUGUGUUGUGUGGCCUGAGUCUUCAGCUGGAUUAGUAUGUAGAUUUCGCUUUAGGAUAAGGGACUUAUCUGGAGUGAUAAAGUCUGUAUCAGAUUAAAGCUUGAAUGUCAUGCGGUAAAUGAGGCCUAGGAACUGCCCAAAAAGGAUAUGCAGCAGCUCAUUAAGGUGAAGACCAGCAACCUGAGACUGGCAAAAGCACAAUUUGUGGUUUUUGCUCAAGCAAGUCUUCUGCAGAGACAGGCAAGCUUGAUUUAAAGACAUCAAGAAAUGAAGAUUUAGGCCCUUCUCUGGUCAUUUAUUCCAGUACUCAAUCACUGUCACAGUUGGAAACAUGUGCCUUAUUUUAAAUUUGAAUUUGUCUAGAUUUAACUUUCAGCCAUUAGUUAUUCGUAUGCUUUUCUUCACUAGAUUAAGUAGUCCCUUGCUAGCCACUAUUUUCUGUCUCUGAAAGUUUUUGAACACUGUAAUUAAGCUACAAUGCAACCUCCGUUUUGCUACCCUAAACAUUGUCCCUUUAAAUUAUUUGCUGUAAGGAAUUUUCUCCUUCAAAUUGUUUUUGUGGCUCUUUUGUACAUUCUUUCCUUUUUUUUUUUUUUUCUCACCAUUUAGAGAACAAGUGUACUGGAACUUCACAUAGACCUUCAUUUAAAAUCUCAGCAGUGCCAGCUUCCUUACUCACUACUCCAUUGUUUGUGGGUCCACUUUUUGCCAUAGUAUUGUGUAGAGAGUACACAGUGAAUUAUUUGUCAUAGUAGACAACUACUCUUGAAAUUUAUUGCUUUCCAAGAUUUAGUCCUGGUUCCGUACUUCUUGUUCUUAAUUAUCUGACUUUCUAUUUGGCCAUAUUAAUGUUAAUUUUCUUCAACUAUGUCUAGAUUAGUAAAUGACGGAGUGUUUUGUGUGCCCGUAUUGCUUUCAUUAGUAUUGACUAUCUGCUAAUCUUGAUGUCAUCUGCAAAUUUUACCAGUAAUGAUUAUAUGUUUACUUAGAGAACACUAAUAAAAAUGCUGAACCCUGUCAAGUACUAGUACUAAUCUUUAUGGGAUCCAAAGAGAAAUAACAUCAUUCAGUCCCAAUUCCCUAUUUAUACCUUUUUUUGAAAACAGAAAACAGAUACUUUAUUGGAUUUCUAAUGUAUUUUAUGUGUACUUUAUUGUCUUACAUGCUUUCUUUUGAUUAGAAACUCAUGUGUCACUAGGUAACUUCACAGGAGUCUGUACAGCACAAGGUGUGUAAUGGUUGUCUCCUGCUGUCAACAAGUAUUUCUUCAGUUUUCUACAAGAACCAGCUUUUUUUUUUUUUAGGUAAGGAUAAGAGUCCAAACUAAAGACACUGUACAAAAACAGAAUUGUGUUUCAGGGGAAGCAGAAUAAUUGAAAAGUGUUCUAACUAAAUAACCUCUCAGAUUUGUCUUACAUGUUUUUAAUUUGUUGCCCUGUGGGGAAUGAUUUGCAUUAGUUAAGAUGCAAAUUGUUGUGAAAGAUUCCUUAUUUUUAAACAGCAAAGGAAAAUUCAUAUUUCUUUUCCUGCAGGAUGUGAUCCAUAACUCUGGUUAUGAAGGUGUCUAGUGUGUCUAUAUCUGUUGUGUUGCAUUUCUUGCAGCUGGUAAUUGAAGAAAGAACCUUGCAAUAAGUUCAAUAACUACUGAUAAAAAAAACAGAUUUGAAACUUAAAAGUUUGCUUAGGAAGCAGCAUUCACAGUUUUGUAGUGGGAUAUGCACAUUUUCAAUUUUUUACAGAAGCAGUUCUCUAAGUAGAUUUCCAGGCCACAGCACAGACAUGUUAACUGUCAAUAUCAGCAUUAUCUAAACAUUUUCUAAACCCUAAGCUAUUGUUGGAGACCAGCGAAAGGGUUCAUCAGAGAUAUUCAUCGAACUUCAGCUUAGUCUCCCAACUUCUGCUGCUCAUGGAGUGCCAAGCUGCAGUUGGCAUCAUGAAUCAAAAUGCACGUAGCGUUAACAUUUUCUGCUGGAGCUGGAAAUGACAGAGAAGUCCCAGUUACUCUCUGCCCAGAGCUGUCACAGUGCAGAGAGAAGCAGGAGCAGGUUCUCAGGAGGAUCCUUGUAUGAGACAGAACCGCCAGUGGGAUUUCCACUUCAUUGCCGUGGCUUAUCACCCUCAUGGUUCCGUUUAGUGAAGGCUGUGUCACAGGCUGGCUGCAAGGCUACGCAAUGGAAAAACAAAGGAGUAAUAACAGCAUAGCAGCGCAGUGACGAGCAAAGUCAUAGUAGGGCCAGUUAGUACAGGAGCUAAACGUGAAAGGAAAAGGAUUUUAAAACAACUUGCAACUGGAAAUACUGCUCCUGCACCAGCUGCAGGAGCCUGCAUUUCAGAGAUGGAAGAGAAAACUGAAGUGUUUUGUACCAGAAAUUACAAAAGAAGAAGAGCCAAAGAUGAGAGAUGUUCAGAGCAAUACAUUGAUCUGUUUUCUCAAUGUGAAUAAAGCUGGCUAAUGCAGUUCUGCUGUUUUCUUUGAGGAAAGUCUAAUUGCCCUGGCCAGAAUCUGACCUGUGGCUGUAUAAACCCCUCGCAUACGUACAGCAUAGAGCCUCUGGCUCCCAGGUUCUGGCUCUGUGCUAACACAGAACAUGCCUUGUAGGAUUCCAAAAGGUUCCUUAACUCCCCCUACACUGGAAGCCAUAGGGGAAAAAACAGUGUUUCUGUCAAAAUGCCUUUUCAGCAUCCUUUCUUUCAGUCUGAUUCCCUUAUGCAUAAGCAAAAACCAUCAAAGUUCAAUAUCAAGCCAAAAACAUUGCAGGUGUCCUUGUCAGGGUACCUGAGACACAAAGGCUUAGCUGACUGUUGUGUUUCUAGAAGUCCAAUGCCCAUCUAUGUUCUCCAUAAUUGGCAGGGCCUUGCCCUUUUUCACGGGGUGAAAAGCAGUCUCAAGCUACCUUGCAGGUACCAUAGGAUGAGAAUCAAUCUGACCAUGGGCUGAUCCUGGGAAGCAGCUGGUGACAGUGACUUACUGAGGUGACGUGAACAGGAGGGAAGGAGAGAUGGGGCUAUGUGAGUGAAGCUUUUCCCUUGUAGGUUGCGAUGGUGAUUCAUAGACCCGUUCUGCUCGACAGCAUACUUGUGGAUAACCUGAGACUUGCACUUUCAAAUGAGACUGGUGGGAAACCUGGGAGGUAAAAGUCACAAAGAUGAGAUGGCAUUGAGCAAGUAUCUCUAAGAGGAUAAUUAGUCUUGAGUAAUAAUUAAGGGUCCUCUUUAUCAGCCUUGAUACAGCUCCAGUUGUCCAAUGCUGAUCCAAAUCCUAGGAAUUAGUGGUAUCCGGAAAUGAUAGAUGCUUUGUACAGCAGUCUCUGCAUGGUGUUUUGUUUGAAGCCAACCAAAGUAGUCUGAAAAGAACCGUGUAAUACUAAAAAACCCACAAAACUAUCUGUUAGAAGUCCAAACUAGGCCAGUGUGUGUCAGCUUUUUGUUUUAACUAAGACCCUAGAUUGUUGCUGUUAUUCUUUGUGAAUAUCCAGGAUAAGCAAGUCAUCUGAAAAACCUACCAAUAAAAGCAUUCUACCCACAGUUGCUGUUCCUUCUCUUCUCUGGGUUCAAAUCUGAGUCCAUGGACCUGAAUAUUAUCUGAGUGCAUGGAAUGGUGUGCUCGC